rnacentral:lncRNA from 1 species
UUUCCACUGCACCACAGUGGGAACUACUGAUAAUGGCCAUUCUGACUGGUGCAAGGUGAUACCUCAUUGUAGUUUUGAGUUGCAUUGCUCCAAUAAUUAGUGAUGUUGAACAUCUUUUCAUGUGAUUUUUGGCCACCUGUCUUCUUUGGAGAAAUGUAUAUUUAGAUUUUCUGCCUAUUUUUUGAUUUUUUUUUAAAUAUAAAUCUCCAUGAGAUGUUCGAAUAUUUGGGAAUUAAUCCCUGGUCAGUCAUUUGAUUUGCAAAGAUCUUUUCCCAUUCCGUGGGUUGUCCUUUCAUUUUUUUAAUGGUUUCCUUUGCUGUGCAAAAUCUUUUAAGUUUAAUUAGGUCACACUGGUUUAUUUCUGUUUUUAUUUUCAUUAUUCUAGGCGGUGGAUCAAAGAAGGUGGAUCAAAGAUUGCUGUGAUUUAUGUUAAAUGGUGUUCUGCCUAGGUUUUCCUCUAGAAGUUUUAUAGUACCUGGCCUUAUGCUUAGGUCCUUGGUCCAUUUUGAGUUUAUUUUUCUGUAUGGUGUUAGAGAGUGUUCUAAUUUCAUUUUUUACAUGUAUCUGUCCAGUUUUCCCAGCAUCACUUAUUGAAGAAACUGUCCUCCCUCCACUGUAUGUUCUUGCCUGCUUUUUCAUAGAUUAGUUAAUCAUAGGUGCUUGGGUUUAUUUCUGGGCUUUGUCUCCUAUUCCAGUGAUCUAUAUUGCUGUUUUUGAGCCAGUACCAUACUGCUUUAAUAACUGUAGUUUUGUAGUAGAGACUUAAGUCAGGGAGCCUGAUUCCUCCACUUCCACUUUUCUGUUUCAGUAUUGCUUUGACUGUUCAGGGUCUUUUGUGUUUCCACACAAAUUUUAAAAUAUUUUGGGAGUUCCCAUCAUGGCUCAGUGGUUAAAGAAGCCUCCAUGAAAGUGUGGGCUCGAUCCCCACUCCUGCUCAAUGGGUUAAGGAUCUGGCAUUGCUAUGAGCUGUGGUAUAGGUCACAGACUUGGUUUGGAUCUCCCACUGCUGUGGCUGUGGUAUAGGUUGGCAGCUAUAGCUCUGAUUCAAUCCCUAGCCUGAGACCCUCCAUAUGCCACUGAUGUGGCCCUGAAAAGACAAAAGACAAAAAUUUUUUAAUAUUUUGUUCUGUAUCUGUGAAGAAUGUUGUUGGCAACUUGACAGCGAUUGCACUGCAUCUUUAGAUUGACUUGGGUAGUAUAGUCAUUUUGAUAAUAUGGAUUCUUCCAAAACAAAAGCAUGGUAUAUCUUGCCAUCAACUUGUGUCACUGAUUUCUUUCAUCAGCAUAUUAUAGUUUUCAGAAUCUUUUGUCUAUUUGGGUAGGUUUAUUCCUAGGUAUUUUGUUCUGAAACAAAUACAACAUUGUAAGUCAACUAUACUCCAAUAGAAUUUUUUUUAAAAAAAUAUCUUGUUUUUAAGACACUGGAAUUUGAAGGUAUUUUCACAACUGAUUCUAGAAACUAGGGGGAAAACAGAUUAAUUUAUUUCCCUUAAGUUAUCAUAUGUACAUAAUUGUUUUGCUGCAAAUUAGUUGGAAUUUGUAUGCCUUAAACAUUCAGCAUGAAGAAUUUAUGCUUUAUUUUGACUAGUGCAUUUAAGAAAACCCUUGUAGCUUCAUAUAUUUAGUCUAACCAUUUCAGCUUGUUUGUUUUUCUUCUUUUACAUACUACAUUUAGCUCUGUGAUAAAGACAAAAUUGCCACACAAUCCUCAUGACAUGUAUAUUCCUACUACUCUCCUCCCCCUCUAUAGCUGCAGAGAGUAAGAAAACAUCUGGUAGGAAGAUGGGACAUUAGAAAGAGCAGGGUCACCUGGGCGGUACUCCUGGGACUGGCUUUUCCUACAAAGCUUCGCCCCCAAGGCCUUGCUGGGCCAGGCCCCAGUGCUGAUUCAGUCUCUGAUUCUCCGGAUGACUAAGGCAGAGCCUUAUUAAUUAAUUGGGAAUCACAUCUAGCAGAGGAAGCAGGUUAGGAAACAGAGGUUGACUACAGAAGGACACAAGGCUGAUGGAGCUAUGAAGGAGCCCAACAGGAAGUAAGAAUAGAGAGCUCCAGACUAAGGGCAUGGUACGUGCAUGAUAGUACAUGGGAAGUGGUCAGAAGUGUGUGUGUGUGUGUGUGUGUGUGUGUGUGUGUGUUUACAGCAUGGAUUGUGGAAGAGAGAGGACAGAUAGGUCAAGGCUACAUGGAUGCCCUGACCAGGCUGGAUAGAGAGAGAGGCUGGACCCGAGUUACAUAGAACCACAUAUGUCAGGCACAGGGGAGCCACUGAAGUUUCUAUCUGGAGAAGGACUUGACAGCACUUAGAAAGAUCACAUAGGUUACCAUAAGGAGGGUGGAUGUGAGUGAAGUUUGAUGACUAGGCCUUGGUGGUGGAGAUGGGGAGGUAGAGAAGUACUGGGGAGACAUGUAUGGAGUAGAGUGGACAGUCCUUAUUGAGGGACUGAAUGAAUAGGGAGGGGAAGAACCAAAGCCAUGUCCAGAUUCCUGGUUCUGCCAUCCAGAGGAGAGUGAGGCCAUUCACUGAGCAGGGAGGCUUGAAGGAAGGAGAUGAUGGCAUCCAAGGGGCCUGGGGCCCACUCUGUGUCUGUGUCCAGACGACAGCAAGAGAGCUGGGCUGGAGAAGUGGUUGGGGACAUAGCAGAGAGAUGGUGACAGAAGCCUUAAGAGGAGAUAUCACCACUCAGGCAGAGUGCGUCGGGGAGACCACAGGGAGGCCUAAAGUACUGAUUAAGGAAAACUGUCUGUGGUUGUCCAAGGCAAGGACACAGAGACUAACUAACCAGGGCAUCACAGCAGUUUCCAUCUUUGAAGAAAAUGUACAGGAGCUGAAAACCAGUGUCCUCGCUGCUUCUGUAGGAGUCUGCCCUGCCCCCCAUCGGCAGGCCUUCCCUGUGGGCAGAGGUCCUCACUCCAGGGUAGGACACUUGCAAGAAUCUGAUUGGCAGUCAGGGCCUCCAUCCUAUCACCAUGAAUUUCUUCAACCUGAGAGCAGAGUGAAUUUUUUUUUAUUUAUUUUUCAAUUUUUUUUUAUUAACGUAUAGUUGAUUUACUAUGUGGAGUCAAUUUCUGCUGUACAGUGACCCAGGCAUACAUAUACAUACACUAUUUUUCUCAUAUUAUUUUCCACUAUGUUCUAUACUAAGAGAUUGGAUAUAGUUCUCUGUGCUGUACAGUAGGUAGAAUAAAUUUUUAAAUGUGUUAUAUCUGGUUCAGGCCUGGCUGAUUGGGAGGAAUGGGAAAUUUUAGACAAUAUGGGGAAUGUGGUUGAUUGUCUAUGAUGCAGUGGGCACUUUCUGUGUGCCUACCCACUGCCUGAAGCACUAUUCAGGCUUUGUGUCUCUGAAUUUGAACUUGAGCCUUUUGCCCCCAAACCCGGUGCUUUAACUUCAUAUUGCAUUCCAGCUCACAAAAAUGGCCAGGAAAGGCAAACUCCAGAAUAAUGAGACAUGUUGUCUUCUUUUAAAAGCUAGAGGGAAUUAAGUUUGUGUUUUGGACAAAAGAAAAUGAAUUUGAGAUAUUGCACUAUGGCUCAUAAACUUACAUUUAUCUCUUUGUAUGAGACGAACCCAAAGCCGGCACUCAAGUUUUAUCACUGGAAUUGAAGGUAUUGGAUAUGAAUUGAACUGAGUGGAACUGAAUUGAGGCUAAUCAGGUCAAAUGUAAAAUGACAAAGAUAGAUAAUAAAGACAGAAAAUGCAUUGGGUUUGCAGACAGUUGUACUGUGAGUGGUGACUGAUCAGAGUAAAUUCUUGAAGAAAGGAGAAAAGAUAGGAGUAUCUCCUGAAAAUGCCCUAGCUGAGUUCCAGAAGUGUUUUUCAAAAAAAAAAAAAAAAAGAGGACUAUUAUCCACAGUAAAAAAAAAAAAAAUGCAUUUUAUAAACUUCAGUACACAUACUCAUGUUUCUGUGCAUAAUGAAAAAUACCAUACAUAUAUGGGAAGUGUCAUGAAAUAGUAUUGAGCCUACUACCCAGGAUGCACUCCAUUUUUCCAUUCUACUUUAUUCUAGUCUAAUCCAUUCCAUUUUUCAUUUUAAUCAUUUUAGUUUCAAACCAUCUAAACUAAUUUUAUUUCCCUUGAAGAGACUGAACUUGCCCUGUGGGAAACCUGGUUCUGCUGGAAAGGAUUCUAGGUAGAAAUGGAGGUGAAUCUCAGUUCUUGAUUCACUCUCUCUGUGACCUCAUGAUAUUUUAGAGUCUCAGCUGCCUCAUCUGUAAAAUGGGUGUGUGUGUGGGGGGGGUGAUAACUCCUCUGUCAAGAUCUUUGGGAGGAAGAGAUGACGUUGCACCUGCAAAGCUCCCAGCAUAAUGUCCAGCACGGAGCAAGUGGCCCUUGACAUCAGCAGGCUUUUGACCCAUUAUAACAAUUUCCGGUUCUUUUCAGAGCAAGAGAAAUGAAAGGCAGAGGAGGUGCUUCCACUGCUCAUGCCUCUCCACCCGGGAUCCUCUUGGUCCACAGGUGGGUCAAGCCAGCCGAAGCAUGGCAUUUGCAGCACAGGAGCCUUUUCCCAGCCAGGUCAUGGCUGGAGGGUCCCAACCCCCUAGGAGUUCCUCAAGCCACCCUCUGCUCUGGGAUCAUUUCUGAGACAAGCAGUGUCUCAGGUAAUUCACCACCAGGGCCUGUCUGACUCAAGCCAGAGAGCAGGUAACAAGAAGCGAGGGCUUGACAUGGGCCCCUGACACCCUGCACUGAAUUAUUCAGGAUUAAAAAGUUCUGACCUGCCAGGGAGCAGAAAGAUAAGCCAUUUGCAUAAGUUGGAAAACAGUGAGAUAGAAAGUUGAACAUAAAAAUGAGCAGCAUAAUAAAAAUCAUUAGGAAAAAAAACUGUAAACCAACUAUAAUGGAAAAAAUAAAAAUCACUUAAAAAAUAAAUAAGCAGCAUGGGGAGUUGCUGUUUUGGCGCAGUGGAGAUGGAUCCGACUAGUAUCCAUGAGGAUACAGGUUCAAUCCCUGGCCUUGCUCAGUGGCUUGGGGAUCCAGUGUCACAAUAAGUUGCAGUGUAGGUCGCAGAUGCAGCUCGGAUUCCGUGUUGCUGUGGCUGAGGUGUAGGCCAGUAGCUACAGCUCUGAUUUGACCCCAAGCCUGGGAACAUCCAUAUGCAACAGGUGCAGCCCUAAAAAAAAAAA